CCUCGAGCCUUCUUAAGAGCCGUUCAAGACCAGGACGUUGAUAGGCUGGGUGUGUAAGCGCUGUGAGGCGUUGAGCUAACCAGUACUAAUUGCUCGUGCGGCUUGACUAU
rnacentral:rRNA from 1 species